CGGGGGCUGGCGGCGCUUUGGCCUUGGAGAGAAACAUGGGGAACGGGGCGGGGGGCUUCGGACCCCCUAACGUGGAUUACUUGGUGCGUAUCAGCCGGGAUCAGAAGAGCCACGACCUCGUCUCCCUUCGUGCGUUGGUUCAUUCCAUCGAACAGCCGGGUCGCUGACCUGCAGGUGAAAUUGGGGAUUUCUGGCUGACUUCGUGGCUACUUGGAACCAUGACAGGAGGACCAGAAAAAAGGCCUGGAAAAGAGGACAGAUAAGGACUGCUCUUCCUCACCCACACUUCUUUCCAGGAAGCUUAGUGGAGCCAACAAAUGCCACCAGGACCUCCCUGAAGGACGUGGAUAAGGUUGGACCACCUCUUGAGAGGCAGGAGCUCUGGAUUCAAAGGCAAAUUCUUAUUUUGGAGAAGAAGAGACUCCUGGAUUUGAGGAGACAUCUGGGUAGAAAGUAAAGAUCCUCACCCUGAGGAAUAAUCUACGUGUCCACCCGAAGAGCAGGGACAUGCAUCUCUGGAGGUGCUCUGCAGGAGGACAAGACUCAUCAUCCCAGACUUCGUUCUUCUUUCUUGUGGAAAACGUUUCCUCUGCUGCUGCCUGCUCAUGCGACCCUACCCCCACCCCCUCCACGGCAGCCAAUGGGCUUCCUACCACACCCUUCUUGCCCUGCACCUCCGUGUUGGCUGUGCCUUUGGACUCAGCAGUUCUUCUUAUUUGUUCCAUUACCUUCUGGCCAGAUGCAGAGUGAAUAGUUAACUAUACUUAGGUCAAGUGGGAUCUUAAUUUUUGUUCCUGCUCUUUCUAAAGAAGCCAGUGUGUGUGUGUUGUGAGCAGCCUUGGAAUAGUAUUCCUCGUUCACUUGGGAUCUGUCUCCCUAGGUUGGGGAGUAAUGCACGAAGCUGUGUGGAAGUUGUCCAGGCUCUUGGACGUGAGGGCUGUUGGAGAAGGCUUCAGCAGGGGAGCUGGACCGCGAAGGCUGGCGUUCUUCAUGUGCAACUUCCUUUGUUCGGAUCACACACGAGUAUACAUCCAGAAGGGCAAACAAUGAACGCCGCUGUUCAUUCCAACUCUCUUCUAUGACACAGAUGCACAGUAGGCUCUGAAGACCCUCUUCUCUCAGGUGGCAGCUGGAGUCCAUGCCAGAUCAUGAGGCUUCAUGACAGAUGAGACAGCUAGCAGGGUUGCCGGUGUUAAUCACGGACCCCCUGCCCCCAGUGUGUGGUGAGGAUGUACACACGCCUGACAACAGCUUGCGUCUUGUCUGUUCCUUUUACUCUGUAACCACCGUGUGCAUGGUUCAGAGUACUUCCUAAACAUGUCAUGGUCAACCUUGUCCAGAAUGAAGAGUCAAAGAUGUUUGUACUUCCUUAUUUCCAAAGGAAUAUAACGAAUGGAAUAAUAUGAAUGGGCAGCUUGCUUUUGUAAAAGAAUUUCAGCUUC